CCCCCCCCCCCCCCCCCCCCCCCCCCCCCCCCCCCCCCGGGGGUCGGGCGGGACGGGGGGGGGGUGGUGUCUGGAGCGGUCUGGCAGGACCCAGCCGAAGCACACGGCUCGGCCUUGACUGCCUCUCUCCCAAAUCUGGUUUUCAUAGAGCCGCGCAGUAAUUACCUAAAGCCGUAACUGUCUCCGAAAUUAUUCAUUAAAGUCAUUCCCGGGAAUCUAUCGGUGCGAGAGCCUACAUUUAUGGCCUUUGCGCCCCCCGAGCAUGACAUCGCCUCUCGCCUUGCGUCCUCAGCGGCCGAGUGCUCAGCAUCGCGGAGAGGAAGGGGGAGACAGGGCUGCUCUCUCUUGCCUUCCCCUCGAUGUAUUUGUUUGCGGGGGCUCAGGUUGCUUUCCCCCUUUUGGCAAAGGAGCGCUAUGCAGCCCGGCAGAUACCUUGGGAGCGGGGAGGGUAUUUUGGGGAGUUGCAGUGUUGUGCGGAAGAUCAUGUCUGUGCCCUGUGGUGCUGUCAGCGGUGACAGAUCCCAGAUGCGGUCGCUACUGUAUGGCAGAUUGAGUUUCUCAGCAGAAAACUCUCUCCCUCCCUCCCUCCCUCCCAAACGUCUUCAAAAACCUUCUCCAGAUACUGCGGGUCACUUCGGCUCAAACGGGGAGAGAAAGGGGGGAAAAAGGGCUUUUCCUCUCUCCUCCCUCUCUCUUCCUCCCGCCGGAUCUCUCCGGGGUGCGGGGGGCCAUGACCGGGCCCUUGUGAUACUGCGGGUCACUUCGGCUCAAACGGGGAGAGAAAGGGGGGAAAAAGGGCUUUUCCUCUCUCCUCCCUCUCUCUUCCUCCCGCCGGAUCUCUCCGGGGUGCGGGGGGCCAUGACGGGGCCCUUGUGCACCCGGGGCGCUGAGGCGUCCCCUCUCACCCUCGUCCUGCUGGGAGCCCGCCGCCGAGCACGGGGACCGUCGUCCAGAAGGAGCCUGUCAUUUUAUCUCGGGGUUUCUCGGAACCGCUGAGCGAGCCAGAGGCUGCGGCCGCUCCCGCUCUGCUCGGGAGGGAACAGCUCCGCCGGUGGUGCCUUUUCCCUCCGUGGCCAAGCGCGUCACUUGGGACGCGGCGCCGGCAGUGCUUGAGGAGGAUUUGUACUCAUUUUUCCCAGAGAAGGGUUUUUCUUGCUGUGUCUUUUCCCUAAGCCAGGUAAGCGAUGCGAGCUCGGUUCCCCCUCCAGCGGCUCGCCCUCCAGCGCUCCCUCCGGGGAGCUCUUGCAGGUUCCUUCCUGGCGGGUUCCACCUCCCCGCACUCGGGUACCGCCACCGGGACCCACCGUCCCCCGGCCCGAGGGGCGGCGCUGGGCGAGCGGGGAGGCCGGGUGGCGACAGAGGCAGGCAGGCAGCGCCGGAGCCUGCAGCUGCCUUCGCUCCCCGGGGCAGCCAUGGCCAGGUUAUCAGAAGGUAACUCUCGGCCAUCCCUGUCUUCCAUGGUGAGGGGAAGCCAACAACUAUUAUUAUUGUUAUUGUUAUCAUCAACAUCAAUAUAAUGAUAAUAGUCAUUUUCAUCGUCAUGAUUAUGGAAGCCAACAACUAUUAUUAUUGUUAUUGUUAUCAUCAACAUCAAUAUAAUGAUAAUAGUAAUUUUCAUCGUCAAGAUUAUUCUUUUUUUUUUUUGUGGCCCCGAGGUUUAAGAUUUUUUUUUUUUUUCAAACUUCGAUGUUUUCGCCCCUACCUCCCUCCCGCAAGAAGGUAGAGUUUGAAUGUGGACACUCCUUCGGGGAGGCCGGGCCAGCGGUGUGAAUAUCCCUUUUAAUUAGAACAAGUUCAACGGCUGAUUCAAAUUGAUCAGGUCUGAAAUAUUUGCACCGUGGUCAUUUUCCGGACCGUUCACACUUAAAAAAAAACCCCGGAUGUACUGGUGAAAAAUUAGAAAGGGGGUAAAACCCGACAAGAAGUAGCUGGGAGAACAGUCCUUUUGUCCGGGUGUCUCUGCGAGCCCGGCGCUGCCUACGCCGCCGAGCCGCUGGCGGCGGCCCCCCCCCCCCCCCCCCCCCCCCCCCCCCCCCCCCCCCCCCCCCCCCCCCCCCCCCCCCCCCCCCCCCCCCCCCCCCCCCCCCGGCGGGAGGCAGAGCAGGGCCCAGCCUCUGCUCCCGCAGCAAAAGAAGAUGGGAAGACCUUGCCUGGCGAGGCCAGGGCCCCUCCUGCAGAGCUACCACCGAGCGGCAUCUCCCGCGCCGAGCGGCACUGCGCUGGCAGGGUGGCAGGGGGGAGCAGCUGGUGGCAAAACGCGAUGCCGCGUUUUCCCCCUCUAAAAGCUCACGGACAAGCUGCGAGGGGCAUCGCACCUGCCGGGCUGUCUGGCUCCCAGCCGCCGGGAAGGGGCUGUUCCUCGGGGGCCCCUGCGGCAGGAGCAGCGCAAGGUGUCCGCCGGUAGAGUAGAGGAAAGCUCCAGCCCGCCUGACUUGGAAAGAAUCCACUUUCCCACAGCUUUUUCAAUCCCCAAUACUUUUCACACCCUGUUAGGAGUUAAUACCGCCGAAACCGCUAAACGCUUCCAUGCCUGAAGGUACGCCCCGCCAGGGGCUGCGCCUGGCGGCCCCCGGCCCCGGGCAGGACGGGCGGCAGCGCGGGAAGAGCCCGCGGAAAGGGCUCCUUUCCCCGCUGGAAAUUCCUCGGAUGCUUCGUGCUUCGGCUAACACAUCGGGCUGGCUUUCUUUGAAAGGGCUUCGGCGGGCAACGGAGGGGAGGGAAGGAUUCCCCAGAUACCUUUUGGGGAAGAGCGGGGCGAUACUGCUCCAGCUCCCUGGGUAAUAUUUCAGAUGCCAGUCUCUCGCCGUGGAGAGCUGGCUGGGGGUCAGCUAUGCGGCCUGGGCUCUGCAACCAGCACCUCUGGGCGGCAGCGAAGCCACACGGGGUUGGGGAGGAGGGCUGGGAGAGGAAGGUGUGUGUAUAAAAAAACGGAAUAGAUCUUAGUUGUAGCUGACUUUUUUUUUUUUUUUUUCUUUUUUUUUUUUUUUUUUUCCCCCCCCCCCCCCCCCCCCCCCCCCCCCCCCCCCCCCCCCCCCCCCCCCCCCCCCCCCCCCCCCCCCCCCCCCCCCCGGUGCCCCGAGAAGGGCCGAGGGCAGCGGCUGCUCCGCUCCGCUCCGCUCCGGCGGUAGCUGACCUGGCCCCAGCGCCUCCGCCCACCCCGCAAGGCCAAGGGCAGCCAGAGGGCCUCAUUUUCCCUGAGCUCACAGCGACGAUGAGAUAACCCAACGCGCGCCGCAGGAAAGAGCCGAUCGGGGGAGCAUUUCCCGUGCUAUUUUCCCACUGAAGUAAUUGCUGGAAAACGCCGGGUGAGAUUUCUUGCCACUGCUUUCCAAACCUGCAAACACUGUCCUCAGGAAAACCGCUCGGCUGGGGUCUACCCAGCUCGCAGCAAGAGCACUUGUCUCUGAGAAGCACAGCAAGAGCACUUGUCUCCGAGAAGCACAAAAUUCACCCAGAAAACCUAACUGUUAGGUGAUGUUCGGCGGUCAGGCCAGGAGUGCCCAGUCUUCCAUGCAGUGGGACAUGUAGGCUGUCGUUCAGAGUCUGAAGGGAUUUGUCCAGCGUGUCUGUCUUCACAAAACAAAGGACUUGGUCCCGGUCUAAAGUGAGAGCAUCUCUGGAGCCCAGAGUUGCCGGGCUCCCCUCCAGCCCUCCAGGCACAGCGAUGUGCCUCUUCUUGUACCCCUCAGCUCAUAACGAGCGUUUAAUUUGCAGUAAUGCUGAGGAAGGUUGGGACACCCGGUCGGUGGGUGCCAUGUGUGGGGGAUGUACCUUUAGCUGUAUCGUCCCCAGCUCCCGGCAAACACUGUCAGCCGUGUAAGGUUAGCAGCAUCCCUCAGAUGCGCGUUUGCUCUCCGUUCAAAACCCGUUAAAAUCUCGUGGAGGAAAAGGGAAAUCCAUCGGUAAUGUACAUUUGGUGGGACGCUGCACAACUCUGAUUAGGCUUUUUCCCUGGCCGUCGGAAAAUGCCCUGCGGACUGGCUGCGGAGUGUUCCGCACGGGGAGAAACUGCAGUGUCAAAACAGCCCCCGAGGCACAGGCUCGUUCUCCGGCGGCAAUGAGAGACUGAUUCCCAGGCGGGGAACGCGAUUUCCCCGGCUGUCUGUCCCUGCCCGGGACACGCACAACCCCCCAGGCAGGUCCUGACCGGCUGCAGCCUCUCCCCGCCGAUCCUGGGUAACAUCUCUAGGACUGUGCCGGCCAAGUGGCAGCUAUCCCACCUCUCCUUGCUUUCCCCCAUCGCCCGCCGAUCCCGUGUCCACCCAGCCCGAUGCAGACACUCCACGCUCUCGGCCAUCUCAGAGGGGCAGAUGUCCGUAUGGGAUAGGGCCACCUUCUUCCUCACGCUCCUCAGGCCUCGGCAGGCCUCUAAAUCCUGUCAAAACUGAGGGGCCUGCUCUGGGCUGUGCUACACAAGCCAUGCAGACCCCCUCGUCGCUCAGGUGUAACCACUAAGGGUCUCUUCUCCCGGCCUGGGAUAGGUGUAAACCACCUCGACCAUGAGUGCGUUUCAUCUCGGUGGCACCAUUUACUCAAAUAGCACAUUGAGCCCCAAGCCGAGAGCCGGGAGGACCUUUGAGGAAAGGGUGCUCUUUGCAGACGAGGCUGAGAGCAUUGGGACCCGAGCACGGCAGCCGGGCGGGCAGGGAGGGCCCUGCUGGCAGCGGCGACCCGCGGGGAGCUGUCACCGCUCGCCGCCCGCGGCUGCCGCUCCCCCCCCCCCCCCCCCCCCCCCCCCCCCCCCCCCCCCCCCCCCCCCCCCCCCCCCCCCCCCCCCCCCCCCCCC
rnacentral:lncRNA from 1 species